GAGAGAAAAGGUGGAAGGGGUAGGAGAGGAGAGAGAGAGAAGAUGGAAGAGGUAAGAGAGGAAAGAGAGAGAGAGAUAGAGAAGGUGGAAGAGGUAGGAGAGGAGAGAGAGAAGGUGGAAGAGGGAGGAGAGGAGAGAGAGAAAUGGGAAAGGUAGGAGAGGAUGAGGAUGAGAAGAGAGAGAGAGAGAGAGAAGGUGGAAGAGGUAGGAGAUUCAAAUUCAAAUUCAAAUAUUUGGUAAUUUGUUCCAAAUCAUGGGUCCACGUGUAAGUGUCUCCCGUGCCCCUAUAUCUGUGCGUGAUCUUGUGUUCGGACACAGGUUGUGUUUCCUACGGUUGGAAGGGUUAAUAGCCAUUCUGGAUAAAGCCCUUGCAUUAUUUUGUGGAUUAGUAUGCAAGUGUCAUAGUUAUAUUUGUGUUGUACUUUUAGCCAAUUUAAUUUGUUUAUUUGUCGGGUAAUGUGGUCAUACUUAUUGACAUUACCAAGCGGUACUCUCGCAGCAAAGUUCUGUCAUUUUUGGAUUUUCUGAAUGUGACCUUUGUUUGUUGUGCCCCAAAUGUUAGAACAAUAAUUAAUCGUACUGGGAACUAGUGGUUGUAUUACGAAUAUCCUAGUUGCUUUUUAUGUGGCCUAGGUAAAUUAGCGUGCCCAUUACUUUAAUAUGGAUGUUGUCGACAUGGUUCUCAAAGGUCAUGAAUCAGUCAAUGUGUACGCCUUGUUUUUUUACAGAAGUGCUCGGUCUUAUGUAGCUGUCUUCAAGAGAGAAGAGAGAGAGAGAGAAGGUGGAAGAGGUAGGAGAGGAGAGAGAGAGAAGUGAUAGAGGUAGGAGAGGAAAGAGAAAGAGAGAGAGAGAAGGUGGAAGAGGUAGGACAGAAGAGAGAGGUAGGAGAGGAAGAGGAUGAGAGAGAGAGAGAAGGUGGUAGAGGUAGAAGAGGAGAGAGAGAGAGAAACGAGAGAGGUAGGAGAGGAAGAGGAUUAGAGAGAGUGAGAGAGAUAAGGUGGAAGAGAUGGGAGAAGAGAGAGAGAGAAGGUGGAAGAGGUAGGAGAGGAGAGAGAGAGAGAAGUGAGAGAGGUAGGAGAGGAAGAGGAUGAGAGAGAGAGAAAAGGUGGAAGAAGGGCGGAAGGAAGGGAGAGAAAGAGGAAAGUAAAGAGGAGAGAGGGAUAGGAAUGCAAUAUUUUUUGUUGUUUGUUUGCUUAUUUGAUUGUUUUGCAGAACAAAAUGGUACAAUUCAUUUGGAAUACAGAUUGUGAGGAUAAGGAUUCAAACAAGUUGGUUUCAGAAUUAAAUUGAUGUGUUCCGCUUAUGUCAAUAGAGCCUCAUCUGAA